rnacentral:sRNA from 1 species
ACUCUCAGAGGAGCAGAUGAAGGAACUAAUCUACCGCGAGGCGCUUGCUU